rnacentral:rRNA from 1 species
GUCUACGGCCAUGCCACCCUGAACAAGCCCGAUCCCGUCUGAUUUCAGAAGCUGAGCAGGGUCGGGCCUGGUUAGUACUUGGAUGGGAGACCACCUAGGAAGACUAGAUGCUGUAGGUG